UACCCUUUCAUGUUGCUUCUUUGGCUGUGCAGAAGCUUUUGAGUCUGAUGUAAUCUUACUUGUAAUUUUUUUCUUGUUGCCUGUCCUUUUGGUGUCCUAUCCAUGAAAUCAUUGCCAAGACCAAUGUCAUGAGACUUUACCCGUGUUUUCUUCUAGGACUUUAACAGUUGCAGACAAACUAAACAAAACACUACUCCAAAGAAAAACAUCAAGUGCCCUGGCAUCAGUGGUAGGUGGGAUGCAACAAGAUGCUGUUACCUUAGAUGGGAUGGAAAAGCCAACCAAAUCCAAACUGUGGAGGCAGCAGUGCCAUCCCUGGAGCCAAGCCCUGGAGGUGGCCAGCAAGGCUCUUCACCAGGCAAGACAAUAGUGUACCAUCUGUCAGCGGUCCCCGAGGUCCGGCGCCAUGGAAGUCAGCAUUCUUGAGACAAGUGAAAGGAGCCCUGUCCUCUGGUGGCGCUAGGUUCCAGAGGAGAAUGCAUGAGGACAGUCUCUUCUGAGAGGAGCUCACAACAGAAAGGGUUCCUGAGGAGGCGUGCAAAGGCCAAGUAAGGCACCCUUGCUGUCCGUCCCAGGGCACGCCACAGUCUCUACUGUCCUUGACAGGUCUGCCCUGAGUGAGUGCAGCAGUGACGGCUUGGUGGGCUCCAGGUGACGUCUCCAGAGGCCCUGAACGGUGGCGGCCUGCAGUCCUCAGCCAGCAGCAGCAGGGGUCACUCAUCAUACGGGGCCAUUGACGGAUGUGUCGCCUGGCAUGCUUGGCUGGUCAGUCCUGCAGAGGAAAAGACAGACAUGUGAGGCAUGUGAGGCAGAAAAACCAACUUGGUUUAGCUCCUUGAGCAUGGGAACAUUUAUUUUAAUAUUGUUUAUGCAAUGCCUAGCACAAAGCCUGGCACUUAUAGUUACUUAUUGGAAUGCUUCAAAAACGCAUUAAUCGAAAACUCCAGGAAAUCUAACGGUUCCUAAGCUUCACCUCAGCUCUGGUUAACAGGCAUUUAGCAAGGGCUGUAGCAGAGCAGAGUUCCAUGAAACCAUCCCACUUCGGCCUCCUAGAAGCACACUGUAGACCAGGUCAGUGGUAUUUAGACUGUUGCUCCCAGACCCAUCACGAGCCAUGUGCUCAUCCCCUCCUUCAAACAGCUUUUUAUUUGUUCCAUAUAUUGGACUCCACAUAAAUUACACUUGAAAAGCAGGAUUCUUCUACUGAAAGAGGAAAAAAAAGGCUUGUAAACAGGACCAGCUUUUGAAAACAGGUGUGUACUUUAACAAAUGUGCUCCCACCAGGCAAGUGUUAGGGCUGAAGUUGGGAGAACAGAAGAGGGAAUGCUAGGGGCGCCUGGGUGGCUCAGUUGGUUAAAUGUCCAACUUUUGAUUUUGGCUCAGGUCAUGAUCUCAGUCUUGGUGGCAUUCCCAGAUUUUUACAAAGCAGGCUUGGGAAAGGGUGCUUAGAGAUGUACCUAGAAGCACAUGGGUGCUUCUGGACCAGCUCACAGCUCACAAGCUCAAGGCUUCAGACAUUUGCUAAUUGUAAGAGAGAGCCAAAAAGCUGGCUCCACAAGCAAUGCACUCUGCUUACACUGAUGGUGUCUCCGUACCUCAGAGACCAGGGGACUGGGGUUCUGCCAGCAGACACACCGAGUACAAAUCACACCAUCACCACUCACAAGCUGCCGGGUCUCGAGUCCAUCUUCUAACCUCUCCCAGUUCAGCUCCUCCCCCUGUGAAAGGGGGACAACAACCCCCCUAAAGGUGGGGGAGUAUGUGAAGUAUACAAAGUGCUUGGCAUACAGGCUGGCAUGUGCUUGAUAAACAAUAGUUAAAAAGUUAAAUUCCGUGGCAGUGCAAACCAUUAAGUGCAGUAGUGCACGCCUGUCAACCCAAGGGGCCCUGAUACCUGGUUGUGACACAAAUCAUGUGGGGAAAAGUGCAGACAGAAAGGCCCAGUGGCUCUCUUCACCUCCCAUACAUUGCUCUUAGAACACAGAUGGGCUCGCGGAACCACUUACCUUCUCCCUGCCAUCAUAGCAGCUCAAUGCCACCUUCUGAGCAGCCUUCUCCACUGCCCCAUCUAAGUGGGACUCCUGAUCUCCCAUCCAGCUGGCCCGAUCCUCCAGCAGCACCUCUUUCUACAUGUGCCUAGAUCAUCUGGGUGUCUGUUAUGCUACUGCUUUACCCCCAGGCCUAGACCACUGGCUGCCACACUCACGUGUGUUGGGUAGAGGAAGGACAGAUGGAUGAACGCAUGGACACACGUGAUGCCCUUGUCUUCGUCCACUGGCCCUCCUCAGUGUUUCCCCCACCACCUCAGUCCAGCAGAUUGAGGGGCAGGACUCUUCACACCAGACGUCUCUAGGUGGGUAGAAGAGCAAGCAGGUUCCCCCAAGGCAAAUAAUUUUGCACUCCAGAGAGCCAAGGAAAUGAUCCCAGAGCUUCCUGUAUCAUUUAUGUCUGAGAAACCAAGAAGAGACUCCUGAAUCAACUCGAAAUUGGAACAGACCUGGAUUGUCCUGCUUUCUAAACAGAUCUCGAUAUAAAGGAAUGUUGUAGACAGAAAUUAGGGAAAGGACAUAACUGACUGGGAAUAAGAUCCUACAAAAUACCCUUGAAAAAACAUCCACUGGAAACCGCAGGCAAAAAGAGGUGACUUGCCCAAAACACUUAGAAGCAUACCUGGGGCCGGAUCCAUCAAUGCUGUAGUGUCACCAUGCCUCCUCCUCCCAAAGCUUUCACUAGAGCCAACAUGCUCAAAUAGUUCUUAUAAUUGAUUUGUUUUAUACACCAAGAUUUUUUUUUUUAAAUCAUAGAAAAGCAAACUCCUCAUUCUGGCUAUAAUUCCCAUGAGAAACAAAAGCAGGGUUUGGGCCACAAAAGAGGUUUGUCAACCAGUGAACAGAGUGUGCCCCCUGCUGGGUCCCACUGGUUAUGUCACCCCUAACAUGACUGAUUUUGGGGGUGAGGAUCUGGUGAGGGGGAAAGACAGCUUUUCUGAAAUGGCUUUAAAGAUUACUUUAUUCCUUAUGCAAGGAAUGUACAAACUUAGGUAUAUAUAACAAGAAAAGUUAACUCUGGGAAGUGCUGAGCAAAGUUCCUUGUGGUCCAAGGGCAAAUCCUCAUCUUCUGGCGCGAGCUCUGGAGCAAUCGGAGGCCGCCCUUGCUCUACCUGCGAGGCCGUGUGUAUGGGCCAGGGCGCCGGCCCUCGGAGGCUGAGGCUUUGGCUUGGCCUAUCCCUUCAGACCACUGGCUCAGUCUAAGCAAUAGGUGACUAGAAAGAAAACAUCACAUUCCAAAUCACUCAGCUCUGGCAGUGGGAUUAUCACACGUAAUCAAGACAAAUAUUUUGCAUAAACAAAACCAUACAGGGAAUCAUCUGAGUUAAGAAUAUUUAGAAACAUACAGAAAAGGGUCUCCAGGAAGGCUCUCCCCAUGUGUCACAUGUGCAUGAUUAUGGGAAAAGGAGUACCACCAGGGGUUGCUUGUGGCUGGCAGCUGGUAAUCUUGUGGACCCCAUGAGAACUUGGCUGCCACAGCCUAGUGGCCCCCGAUCCCAGGGGAGGCUCAAGAUCAGCCUCAAAUUAGUACUUCCUUUAAAAAAAAAAAAAGUACAGGGGAAGGUUAUGCCAGCAUUGGAGACCCUUCCCUUCCAUUUUGAGGAAUUUCUUUAGAGAGCGAGUGAUAUUACCAAAUCUCCAAAAACCAGUUUUUGACUUUUGGGGUAAGGAGGUAAACCGUUCUGAGUUCUUGGCCCAGGUACCCUGCCUAGAUGUAGCCUAAGAUAAUGCUACUAUACUGAGUAAGUCACUGAAUGCCUGAGGACAAUGACUACUCCUAUCUCUCCUGCUUCCCCAACUUCCCUCCCAGCUUCCAGGAGAAAACAGUGACAGCCAGAAUAGGACCUGGGCAGGUUGGAGGAAGUGAGGAGUUACCUCUGCUCUGGGUUACUGUUGGGGGGCCGGGGGCCCACAGACUUCACCUCUGCUGUCUCAGGGCUCUCCUCAACAUCUUUACAAGCAGCAUCUUGAGAGGUAGACAGUUUUCCUUCCUCACUGCAGUAAAGAGGAGGACAGGCAGUGUUAGGCACCCCAGGUACCGGCAGGGGUGGAGGGUGAAGGCACAUGCAAAUGACCCUGGAAGUCAUGGGUGCCAUGGAGUAAAGCCCUGGGGCUGAGCAUGCUCAGGGGAGGGACCACAGGGGCCACAGACAGUGACUGGGAAAUCACAAAAGGAAAGGAUCACACACAAGAGGGAACCAAAGGAGGGACAAUGUAAUGCAGCUGGUGUCUGAUAAAGAAUGGCCCGCAUUACUGUACAUACCGAUAGGAUUUCAACACUCUGAAGCCAAGUGUGCAAAAUAGAAAAAGAAAUGUACAAGAGUUUCAGAAUACUCCUAUAAAUGAGGAAUGUGGGGGGGUAAUAUGUCCACGACUGCACAUAAGCAGAACUGCAGACUCGGUGAAGGUGUCAAAUGAACCUGUUUGAAGGAAUGAGUCUUUAGUUAAGGCAU